AGCGAACGCUGGCGGCAGGCCUAACACAUGCAAGUCGAACGAACCUUUCGGGGUUAGUGGCGGACGCGUGGGUAACCCGUGGGAACGUGCCUAUAGGUUCGGAAUAACUCAGGGAAACUUGUGCUAAUACCGAAUGUGCCCUUCGGGGGGAAGAUUUAUCGCCUUUAGAGCGGCCUUCGUCUGGUUGCCUAGUUGGUUGGGGUAGUCGCCCACCCAGGCGACGAGCAGUAGCUGGUAUGAAGGGAUGAACAGUCACAUUGGAACUGAGACACGGUACAGACUGCUACGGGAGGCAGCAGUGGGGAAUAGUGGACAAUGGGCGAAAGCCUGAUCCAGCCAUGCCGCGUGUGUGAAGAAGGUCUUCGGAUUGUAAAGCGCUUUAAGUUGGGAGGAAGGGCAGUAAGUUAAUACCUUGCUGUUUUGACGUUACCAACAGAAUAAGCACCGGCUAACUUCGUG
rnacentral:rRNA from 1 species